rnacentral:rRNA from 1 species
UACGGGGUGAGCAAGCGUUGUUCGGAUUUACUGGGCGUAAAGGGCGCGUAGGCGGUCGUGACAAGUCACUUGUGAAAUCUCCGGGCUUAACUCGGAACGGUCAAGUGAUACUGUCGGACUAGAGUACAGAAGGGGCAACUGGAAUUCUCGGUGUAGCGGUGAAAUGCGUAGAUAUCGAGAGGAACACCUGCGGCGAAGGCGGGUUGCUGGGCUGACACUGACGCUGAGGCGCGAAAGCUAGGGGAGCGAACGGG